CUUCAUCGAAUUCUGCUCGACUC
rnacentral:snRNA from 1 species